UACGUAGGGUGCGAGCGUUAAUCGGAAUUACUGGGCGUAAAGCGUGCGCAGGCGGUUUUGUAAGCCAGAUGUGAAAUCCCCGGGCUUAACCUGGGAAUGGCAUUUGGGACUGCAAGGCUUGAGUGCGGCAGAGGAGACUGGAAUUCCUGGUGUAGCAGUGAAAUGCGUAGAUAUCAGGAGGAACACCGAUGGCGAAGGCAGGUCUCUGGGCUGACACUGACGCUCAUGCACGAAAGCGUGGGGAGCAAACAGGAUUAGAGUACCCGGGU
rnacentral:rRNA from 1 species